rnacentral:misc_RNA from 1 species
AAUUCUCAACUCCGAUUCGAUUUGUUUCGACCUCGGAGCUUGGACUUUGGAGCGUGCUGGCGUCGGUCGGCUCCUCUCAAAUGCAUCAGCGGAAUCUAACGUUUCGGACGUCAGUGUGAUAAUCACGUUGCGCUGUCGACCGAUCCUGAAAGUCCGCUCAUAAUGGUCUUCGGACAACUUCAUAUCAA